rnacentral:rRNA from 1 species
AUUGAACGCUGGCGGCAUGCCUUACACAUGCAAGUCGAACGGUAACAGGUCUUCGGAUGCUGACGAGUGGCGAACGGGUGAGUAAUACAUCGGAACGUGCCUAGCAGUGGGGGAUAACUACUCGAAAGAGUGGCUAAUACCGCAUGAGAUCUACGGAUGAAAGCAGGGGAUCGCAAGACCUUGUGCUACUAGAGCGGCCGAUGGCAGAGUAGGUAGUUGGUGGGAUAAAAGCUUACCAAGCCGACGAUCUGUAGCUGGUCUGAGAGGACGAUCAGCCACACUGGGACUGAGACACGGCCCAGACUCCUACGGGAGGCAGCAGUGGGGAAUUUUGGACAAUGGGCGCAAGCCUGAUCCAGCAAUGCCGCGUGCAGGAUGAAGGCCUUCGGGUUGUAAACUGCUUUUGUACGGAACGAAAAGCCCUGGGUUAAUACCCUGGGGUCAUGACGGUACCGUAAGAAUAAGCACCGGCUAACUACGUGCCAGCCGCCGCGGUAAUAC